AGUGAACGCUGGCGGCAGGCCUAAUACAUGCAAGUCGAACGGCAGCACAGCAGAGCUUGCUCUGUGGGUGGCGAGUGGCGGACGGGUGAGGAAUACAUGGGAAUCUGCCCAGUCGUGGGGGAUAACGUAUGGAAACGUACGCUAAUACCGCAUGCGCCCUACGGGGGAAAGUCGGGGACCGCAAGGCCUGACGCGAUUGGAUGAGCCCAUGUUCGAUUAGCUAGUUGGCGGGGUAAAGGCCCACCAAGGCGACGAUCGAUAGCUGGUCUGAGAGGAUGAUCAGCCACACUGGAACUGAGACACGGCCCAGACUCCUACGGGAGGCAGCAGUGGGGAAUUUUGGACAAUGGGCGCAAGCCUGAUCCAGCCAUGCCGCGUGAGUGAAGAAGG
rnacentral:rRNA from 1 species